UACGUAGGGGCAAGCGUUGUCCGGAAUCAUUGGGCGUAAAGAGCGUGUAGGCGGCUCGGUAAGUCCGCUGUAAAAGUCCAGGGCUCAACCCUGGAAAGCCGGUGGAAACUGUCGAGCUAGAGUCCGGAAGAGGCGAGUGGAAUUCCUGGUGUAGGCGGUGAAAUGCGCAGAUAUCAGGAGGAACACCAAUGGCGAAGGCAGCUCGCUGGGACGGUACUGACGCUGGAGACGCGAAAGCGUGGGAGCAAACAGG
rnacentral:rRNA from 1 species